rnacentral:lncRNA from 1 species
AUAUUUCCUUCAAUUUUGGCUACUCCUACUUUACCUCGGAUAUCCUCAUUCUCAAUCUUAUCCUUUCUCGUGUGCCCAUACCUCCCACGAAGCAUCCUCAUCUCCGCUACACCCAUUUUGUGUACGUGUUGAUGCUUCACCGCCCAACAUUCUGUGCCAUACAACAUCGCGGCCUUAUUGCCGUCCUAUAAAAUUUUCCCUUGAG